UACAGAGGGUGCGAGCGUUGUCCGGAAUCACUGGGCGUAAAGGGCGCGUAGGCGGCUUGAUAAGCGUGCGGUGAAAGCCCGGGGCUCAACCCCGGGUCGGCCGUGCGAACUGUCGAGCUGGAGCACUGUAGAGGCAGGUGGAAUUCCGGGUGUAGCGGUGGAAUGCGUAGAGAUCCGGAAGAACACCAGUGGCGAAGGCGGCCCGCUGGGCAGUGGCUGACGCUGAGGCGCGACAGCGUGGGGAGCAAACAGG
rnacentral:rRNA from 1 species